GCCGGGUGCCGUGGCGGGCGCCUGUAGUCCCAGCUACUCAGGAGGCUGAGGCAGGAGAAUGGCUUGAACCCGGGAGGCAGAGCUUGCAGUGAGCCGAGAUCGCACCACUGCACUCCAGCCUGGGUGACAGAGCAAGACUCUGUCUCAA
rnacentral:sRNA from 1 species